AGGUGCGAAAGCAGGUCAUAGUGAUCCGGUGGUUCUGAAUGGAAGGGCCAUCGCUCAACGGAUAAAAGGUACUCCGGGGAUAACAGGCUGAUACCGCCCAAGAGUUCAUAUCGACGGCGGUGUUUGGCACCUCGAUGUCGGCUCAUCACAUCCUGGGGCUGAAGUAGGUCCCAAGGGUAUGGCUGUUCGCCAUUUAAAGUGGUACGCGAGCUGGGUUUAGAACGUCGUGAGACAGUUCGGUCCCUAUCUGCCGUGGGCGCUGGAGAACUGAGGGGGGCUGCUCCUAGUACGAGAGGACCGGAGUGGACGCAUCACUGGUGUUCGGGUUGUCAUGCCAAUGGCACUGCCCGGUAGCUAAAUGCGGAAGAGAUAAGUGCUGAAAGCAUCUAAGCACGAAACUUGCCCCGAGAUGAGUUCUCCCUGACUCCCUGAGAGUCCUGAAGGAACGUUGAAGACGACGACGUUGAUAGGCCGGGUGUGUAAGCGCAGCGAUGCGUUGAGCUAACCGGUAC
rnacentral:rRNA from 1 species